AGGACGAACGCUGGCGGCGUGCUUAACACAUGCAAGUCGAGCGGAAAGGCCCUUCGGGGUACUCGAGCGGCGAACGGGUGAGUAACACGUGAGUAAUCUGCCCUUAGCUCUGGGAUAGCUCCGGGAAACCGGGGCUAAUACCGGAUACGACCUCGAGCGGCAUCUCUUGAGGUGGAAAGCUCCGACGGUGAGGGAUGGGCCCGCGGCCUAUCAGCUUGUUGGUGGGGUAAUGGCCUACCAAGGCGACGACGGGUA
rnacentral:rRNA from 1 species